GGGACUUUAAACCAGUGCAAACAGGGAUCCUACAGCACUGUAACCAGGGAUCCUAAACCAGGACGGUUUUGGCCAUGGGACUGCAGUAAAACAGACCCUGUGAGCAGCCUGAGAAGCGAGGACAGGCCACUGGUGUCCCCAGUGGAGAGCAGACCCUUUUGGGCUCCUUUGGCUCCUUGGAUGUGCCACGAGCGCUGCAGAUGGGGCCACGUCCAAGAGGGCCAGGACAGCUGCCAGGCUCUGCAUCAACCAACAAGCAAAACCUCUGGAUGAAGUUUGUCCUUUGGGAGAUCUGUCAGGACAGGGACCAGCAGCUCAGGAGGACACAGCUGUGAGACAGCAAGAGAUCCCUCAACUCCAGCCUGAGGGUUUUCUGGAAGGCAUGUGCCUGAGGGCAGGAGCUCCACCGAGGUUCACAGCCCUCCACAUCAUGGCCAAAGUGGUGGUGUGAUACUGGAAUAGUGAAACUAUCUGGGUUUUCAACAGGAAAUCUAUUUCGGGACCUCGAAGGAGGACUCCUUAACUUUCCCUUUUGGAAAGAAUUGUUGAUGAUCUCACUGCGUGGCUAUCAGUGUCCUGGGCCAAAUACUCCUUCUGCUCCUGGACUUCUGAUCAGCUAACAAAGCAGAUGCAGGGACUAAUUAAAGAAGCAGAGCCUGUGUUUUCUGCUUCUUGCAGCUCUAAAUUCAGUAGCUGGUACAUGACACCUCGUGAGCUGAUGCUUGUCUGUCUGUGAUCUAAGAUGAAAGAAACAUUCACCAAAUAAUCCAGGGGGAUGGGAGACUGAGCACUCACUGCCAGGGCUGUUCCAACAGAUGGAGAAACAAAAUCAAUUGCAGGAUCCCAGAUUCACAGGCAGUCGUUCUCAGGAAUGCUAUGAGGAAAAUAACCCCAUCUCUACUGGCUGGAAGGAUUUCAUACCUGGGAUGACAUCACCUGCAAUUCAUAAUCCUGGGUUUUGCAAGAGGACAAGCUGCACAGGCCUUUUGAAGCUUUAUUUAUGGCAGCAUAUUCAGUGCUAUCCCAUAUUUCAUGGAAGAGACUAAAAUGAAGUUGCCUUGGCUGAACACAGGAAAAAGAGCAGAGGAGAUUCCAGUGCCACAGGCCUGUCACUCACUUA